UACGGAGGGGGCUAGCGUUGUUCGGAAUUACUGGGCGUAAAGCGCACGUAGGCGGCUUUGCAAGUUAGAGGUGAAAGCCCGGGGCUCAACUCCGGAAUUGCCUUUAAAACUGCAUCGCUAGAAUUGUGGAGAGGUAAGUGGAAUUCCGAGUGUAGAGGUGAAAUUCGUAGAUAUUUGGAAGAACACCGGUGGCGAAGGCGGCUCACUGGCUCAUUACUGACGCUCAGGCGCGAUAGCGUGGGGGAUCAAACAGG
rnacentral:rRNA from 1 species